GCUGGCGGCGUGCUUUACACAUGCAAGUNGAACGGUGAACCGGUGCUUGCACCGGGGNAUCAGUGGCGAACGGGUGAGUAACACGUGAGCAAUCUGCCCCUAACUCUGGGAUAACUGCGGGAAACCGCAGCUAAUACCGGAUACGACCCAGGGAGGCAUCUUCACUGGGUGGAAAGUUUUUCGGUUAGGGAUGAGCUCGCGGCCUAUCAGCUUGUUGGUGGGGUAAUGGCCUACCAAGGCGACGACGGGUAGCCGGCCUGAGAGGGCGACCGGCCACACUGGGACUGAGGCACGGCCCAGACUCCUACGGGAGGCAGCAGUGGGGAAUAUUGCACAAUGGGCGAAAGCCUGAUGCAGCGACGCCGCGUGAGGGACGAAGGCCUUCGGGUUGUAAACCUCUUUCAGCAGGGAAGAAGCGAAAGUGACGGUACCUGCAGAAGAAGCACCUGCUAACUACGUGCCAGCAGCCGCGGUAAUACGUAGGGUGCAAGCGUUGUCCGGAAUUAUUGGGCGUAAAGAGCUCGUAGGCGGUUUGUCGCGUCUGCUGUGAAAACUCAGGGCUUAACCCUGAGCCUGCAGUGGGUACGGGCAGACUAGAGUGUGGUAGGGGAGAUCG
rnacentral:rRNA from 1 species